GGAGACCGGCUGCCUCGAGGGCCAAUUCCUUAAGGCGGGCAGCCUCGGCCUGCUGACCUUCCACCACCUUGUUUGUCGUCUCGAUGUUGGCAAGGAGUUGGUGACCGAGCUGCAAGGAUGAUCAGAGGAUCAGAAUGGAAGCUGGGAAGUUAGUUAAAUGAAGAAGCGAAAGGAAGGAAGGAAGAUGAAUCUGCUUACCUCGAGGAAGGCCCCCAGCGAGUCCCAGACUCGUUGUGUAGGAUCGACGCGGACGAUCCUCUGGAUGACUUCGGGCAGUGAGCACCC
rnacentral:lncRNA from 1 species